ACACAUUCAAAUAUUUUCGCCUAUAUAAUGUCAAAAUGUGGUUGACGAGUAUCUACCCAACGCCGUAAACGUUGGACUAUAGGAUUCUUUUAAUCGACA
rnacentral:ncRNA from 2 species